rnacentral:rRNA from 1 species
AUUGAACGCUGGCGGCAGGCCUAACACAUGCAAGUCGAACGAGUGGCGGACGGGUGAGUAAUGUCUGGGAAACUUCCUGAUGGAGGGGGAACACUACUGGAAACGGUAGCUUAUACCGCAUACCCUCAGUUGUGCCCAGCUGGGAAUAGCUGGUUGGUGGGGUAACGGCUCACCAAGGCGACGACCCCUAGCUGGUCUGAGGGGAUGACCACCCACACUGGAACGUGGACACGGUCCAGCUGCCUACGGGGGGCAGCAGUGGGAAAUAUUGCAAAAUGAGCGAAAGCCUGAGGCAGCCAUGCGGCGGGGAUGAAGAAGGCCUCCGGGUUGUAAAGUACUUUCAGCGGGGAGGCGUUACCCGCAGAAGAAGCCCCGGCUAACUCCGUGCCAGCCGCCGCGGUAAUAC